CCGUCCCUACUCCAGCGAUGCCUGACCUUCGGUCUCGUUCCACUCUGAGGUCGGCCCGACAUUGGUCAAGCUCUUGUUUGAUUAAAGGCCAGCUGUAGCGACAGCCUCUCUUUGGCCCAUGAGGCACGAACUUCCAUCGGUUCUCCUAAUCUGCGUGGUUUUCAAUCGUAUCAUGGCCAUUCUACAGUGAUAUUUCCUUACCUGAUGUCUGACAUUCAGAAUUUCUCGUUCUCUAUCCAUAGUCUUACAUUUGUCCCUGACAGUUAGAAUCCCUCAUUAUUUACCCAAAGUUCUACAUUUAGCUCCAGAUUUACAUACCAGGUCCUGACAUUCAGAAUCCCUCUUUCAUUACUCAUGGCCUUAUAUUCAUCUCCAGAUGCACACAUCUGAUGUUGGGAACCAUUUAUCUAAAGACUAACAUAAACGAUGUUUGGAACCUAUAUUCUUCA